UUUUUGAUUAAUAAUUUAAAGUCUAAUCUGCCCACUGAUAAAAUAUUAAAGGGCUGCAGUAUUUUGACUGUACAAAGGUAGCAUAAUCAAUAGUCUCUUAAUUGGUGACUUGUAUGAAAGAUUUAAUGAGAUAUAUACUGUCUCUUUUUAAUUUAUAAAAUUUAAUUUUUUAGUUAAAAAGCUAAAAUAUAUUUAAAAGACGAGAAGACCCUAUAGAGUUUAAUAUUUAAUUAGAUUGAAAUUAUUUAUAAAAUUUAAGAUUUUAAUUUAUAUUAAAUAUUUUGUUGGGGUGAUAAAAAAAUUAAAAGAACUUUUUUUAUAAAUUUACAUUAAUAAAUGAAUAAAUGAUCCGUAAUUUACGAUUAGAAGAAAAAAUUACCUUAGGGAUAACAGCGUAAUUUUUUUUUUUAGUUCAAAUAAGAAAAAAAGUUUGCGACCUCGAUGUUGGAUUAAGAUAAAAUUUAAAUGCAAAAGUUUAAAAUUUUUGAUCUGUUCGAUCAUUAAAAUCUUACA
rnacentral:rRNA from 1 species